rnacentral:rRNA from 1 species
GGGUAGAUCUCCCACCCUUGAAUAUUAUACCUUCGUUGCUUUGGCAGGCCGUGGAAACACCAGAGGCUCCGGCUGAUGCGUGCCUGCCAGAGGAAACAAACUCUGUUUUUAGUGAUGUCUGAGUACUAUAUAAUAGUUAAAACUUUCAACAACGGAUCUCUUGGUUCUGGCAUCGAUGAAGAACGCAGCGAAAUGCGAUAAGUAAUGUGAAUUGCAGAAUUCAGUGAAUCAUCGAAUCUUUGAACGCACAUUGCGCCCCGUGGUAUUCCGCGGGGCAUGCCUGUUCGAGCGUCAUUUCAACCCAUCAAGCUUCGGCUUGGUCUUGGGGCCUGCGGUUUCGCAGCCUCUAAACCCAGUGGCGGUGCUAUUGAGCUCUGAGCGUAGUAAUUUCUCUCGCUAUAGAGUCUCGGUGGUGACUUGCCAACAACCCCCAAUUUUUAUCAGGUUGACCUCGGAUCAGGUAGGGAUACCCGCUGAACUUAAGCAUAU